GGGGUACCGAGAAUCGCUUAAUAUGUUCUUUGAGGAAUGGAUGGAUACAAAACUGUCACACGCCAGAGAAAAAAGAGCGACUAUCAUAAAUCAGACUGACUUUGUAAUCGAAGUUAUUGUAUAUCUCUCUGACCCUGACCAACUC